UGCUUCUAGUCUCUGCCCACGUCUCGCCUCGAUGAACCACCUCCUGCUUCGAGUCUCCGCCCGCUAGUCCACCCUCGCACUCUGGACUCGCCCUUCUCCACUCAAGCUCCUCCUUCAGAACACAGGCUCCACACAUGCGACUUGGGCCAGAGACAACGCGACUACUGUCAGGUAUAUGACCAUGCUCGGUCCAUCCUAAAGCGAGUGCAAUACCAGAAGACGAUGGUUUGGGUUGCUGGCUUGAGAUCUUAGGGUCUUGAAUUCAAGCCCGUGUCAUGCCUUUGACUUACCAUAAGAUGGACGUGAAACUGGGCAUCCCGUAUUCCAGCAUUAGUUGGUGGAAGUUAAGGAACCCAUGGUGUCUUUCGCAAAGAGUAGAUGAGCUAUCGCCAGCCCCUGAACAAAUUACAAGUUCCUGCUUCGCUGACUGCUGGGAAGGCAAUGCAUUUCAAAACUCACUCGUCGACGAGGUGAAUUGGCUUGCGAAUGAUCUCCACAAGGAAUGGAAAGCUCUGAAUGACAUCCUGACAGAAAUCCAGUUCGUUUGUCAGGCAUUUCACAACGACCUCAAGAAAUGCAUGAAUAACUUACCUCCGAGACCUCCAACAUCACAGAAUUUACCUAAUGUUUCAAUGUCCUUUUAA
rnacentral:lncRNA from 1 species